GUGUGAGGACCCACCUAGAAGUCACCAUCUAUGAAGCAGGAAGCAGGCCCUCAGCAGACAUGAAAUCUCCUGGUGCUUUGAUUUGGACUUCCCAGCCUCUAGAACUAGGCCAAGAAACUUGAAAAAGUGAUAGAAGCAGGGUACCUUUUGCAUCAUCAAACACAGCUCAGGUGUCUUCUGAGAAGUCAUUUUGAUACAGUAUGAAUUCAAUAAGACAAGUCUUCCAUUGAGCAUGCUUGGGUACUGGUGAGGAAUCACCUGGGGUUGUUACCAUUGAGAACUAGCAGAACAGUAACCAUCAUUUGCUCCAAUGACACACGGUGCAUCUCUUAUGCUAUUAGAAGCAGGACAGCUGGAUAUAAGCAACCAGGUACAGCUGGAAUAGAAAAGAUAGACAGUGGAUUCUUUGGCUUCAUCCAAGUGGGCUGAGGAUUGAAGUAUUUUUCCAGUCAUGUUCUUGAACACCUACUUUCAUGGCAUGCUGACAUUUCCAGACUACUGAAGAUGUGAUGAUUAACUGAUCCUGCAUUUGAUGAAAAAAAAAGUUUGCACAUUCCAAAGGAGAUAGGUUUCAAAUGACUAUAUAGGGUACAAUUUCCACUGAAGUGAUUUCUCUUAAUCUUAAUCCUUAACCACUCUCAUUGCUACAGUACCUUCCAAAAAUUAGGAGCCGGGGAGGGAUGAGAAGUUAAUUGAGCUGAGCAUCUCAGGAACAGGAAGUCACAGCUGAGCAGCGAGAGUUGAUUCCACCAAGAAAAGAA
rnacentral:lncRNA from 1 species